rnacentral:rRNA from 1 species
CGCUUUUUGUUAGUCUUAUAUAAAAAGUUGAGCCUGCCCAGUGGAUAGUUUAAACGGCCGCAGUACCCUGACUGUGCAAAGGUAGCAUAAUCAUUUGCCCUAUAAUUGAGGGCUGGCAUGAAUGGUUUGACAAGAGCUAAGCUGUCUCUAUAAAAUUUAUUAGAAUUUGGUAUUUAGGUGAAGAAACCUAAAUUAAAUUAAAAGACAAGAAGACCCUAUCGAGCUUUAAAUAAAUUAAUUAAAAAAUAUUUAAUAUAAUUAAUUUUAAUUAAAAAUUUUUGGUUGGGGCGACUGAGGAACAAUGAAAGCUUCUUUUUUUCUGAUGUACUUUUGGGUUUAGAUCCAAUAAAUUGAUUAAAAAAAAUAGUUACCGUAGGGAUAACAGCAUAAUCUUUUUUGAGAGUUCUUAUCGAAAGAAAGGUUUGUGACCUCGAUGUUGGACUAGGAUAUCCUGAUGAUGCAGAAGUCUUCAAAGGUUGGUCUGUUCGACCAUUAAUAUCCU